GCGCACAGAGACACACAGAUACACACACACAUGGACCUAUACCCCUGUUAAAAAUAGAAGUUGUAUUACUUUAUACUUUAAGAUGUGUCUGUGUAGCAUUUAAGUUUGCCAGUCACUAUUAAUAUGGCUAUUUUUCUUUCUGCAUCUCAAAGAACAGACUCCUUAAAGAUUUUCCAAUAUGAUGUGAAAAACCAUGGUUUUUAUCUGAAAGUUCUCUGAGUUGACUUCUUGCGCAUCUGAUGCAGUCUUUCUUCUAGGCUCACCUAGCUAGGUUAAUCGUUUGUUUACUGGUAUCUUUCCUUUUUCCACAAAGGAUUGGCAGGGUUGCAGGGAGGGUAGGUGGUGCUGUAAUAAAAGGUAUCUAAUAUGUUUUCUGUUCUUUUGGGAAUUUGAGAAAGCAGUAAGCCAACUUAUAAAGGAAAGCGUUUUUUGGACAAUCUAAAUGGAAAAGAAUCCUCUGUUGCAGGACCUAGUUGCUACAUUGAUCCUGUAAAUUAGUUCUUCCUCUCUUGGAUGAUAUAGGCUCAUGCAGUUCCUAGCAAAUAUGUCUUCACAUUAGGGUGAGACAGUCCUUCUAUUUCCAGCAGGCAGGACGAAUAGGCCAAGGGGCGACUAGGCAGGAUUUCCCGGGGUUCGGGCUACUGCAGCUUCCUGGACAAAUGAAAAAAUGCAGGUGUCACUCCCCUGCCCCCAGGCCAACCAGGUCACAGGGUAAUUGCCCUGUUGCCUGCUGGGAUAGGCCCACCCUGCCCUUCUCCCUCAAGGUUCAUUUUUCAUUUUGAUUGAGUCAUGAUAGCUUAGUGCCACAAAACGUCUGAGGAUAUGCCUGGUAGGGAAAAGGUCAUAAAGGACUCCAGUGAUCUCCCCUUCCCUAAAAUCCAGGGCUCGGUUUCAUGAGUCAUUUGAAAAGGAUGGACAAUCAGAGCUGGUUGCAGGGUUAUGUCUUUCUCUGCGUAUGGCAGGAGUGAAAUCUCCAUCUUGCUAGCUGAAGAGUUGCCUGGCUGCCUUAUUUCAACUGAGGCAGCACAGCUUGCUUUAGCUUUGAAGUGUGAAAGCCAAAUAAAGGUUGGCAAAGGGAAGGGAUAGAAGCUGCAUAGCCUUCUUGGAGCAUGAAGAGACACAUUCGGCCCUGUGCACUGAAUGCAGAAACUUUUCCCAUCUCUUUACCAAUCCCUCAUCCAUAGCCACCCUUGAGAAUUGUGACUAAAACAGCACAAGCUUGGUUGGUUGCCCCUCACUGGAGCUUUUCUGUGGUGGCUGGUCGUCGGACAUUGUGAACUUUAAUUUGGGAAUGAACCAAGCAGAUGCUCACUCUCCAGCUAUCUGGGUGAGUGUCUUGCUAAUCUAUCCAUGAGAGCGACCAGGGACACACACACACACAACACAGACACAUGAACACACACACACAUGCAAACAUACAAACACAAACAUACACACACACACACAGAUCUGACUUUGAUUUGCCCCGGCGCCCUGAGCAAUGAGUUAGGCUAUUUAUUGUCCUACCCCCUCUAUGUCCUAGGGAAGAUUUUAGAAAUUCUAAUACGGGAGGCUGAGAAAGGAAAAUAUUGGCUUCUACAGUACAAACAUCUCUGUCCUGAAAGAAAAUGUUAAUUUUCCCCUAAAUCAAAUGUUGACAUAUAUCAGCUGCUGCUGAAGAUGUGUCACUAUGGGAGACGUUCUUGCUCCGGAUCAGGGAUAUUGGACUGGACUCUCCUCUGAAACGCUAGCUGCUUUAGAAUCUGAACAGGUUUGGUUAAGAGGUUCUAUGAAUUGUUCCAGUUCGUUUUCAAAAAGCUGAUCUCCGUGGGACCCCGUCCUGAGCAGGGGACAGGGGACAGGGUGCCACUUUGUGGAGCGCACUGUUUUCUGCAGAAGCUGGGCCCCCAAGUUGGCACCUGCAAUGAUUUAGGCACUGCUUAUCUCUGCCAGGGGAUAUAGGAUUUUAAUUGGAGAUGUGGGAGGAGGGGAAAAGGCGAGGGGCACGGAGAAAGGAUGGAAUCCACAGGCAAAGAGAAAUUUCCAGCACUAGAUGUUUUACCCGACCCUUUUCCCUCUGCCCCCAAAACACGCAGUCUAAGUAUUCUUUGUUCAACACCUAUGUUUAAAAAAUUCCAAAUUAAAUUCCCCGAUUAUCUCUCUCUCUCUCUCUCACACACACACUCACACACACACACACACACAUCCUUUUAACUUGUUAAGUUUGAAAGAUGAUGAUAUAUACAACCAGUGUGCUUUGCCAGUCUGCACAGUGAAGGCCAAGAUUAAUGCAGAAGGUUGGUGCAACGUUGCCGCAGAGCAGCGUGAUCAGAAUACAAGAUGGAGCAGAGGGGGAAAGGCCAAGAAAUAUGUCUGUGCUUGGAGUUUACACAAGUCUCCUUAGCAACUUGUCUGAAUUUAUUUUUCCCUUACUGUGUGUGGGUUUCUUCCAAACCCUGAGUGAAAUGAGAGUUGAAUUUCUAACCGACCCCUGUUUCUCUGCUUCGAGGGUGAAACUGUUUCACUUGGUUAGCCAGCCUGUCUCUCUCUUACUGGCUCUUUCUCCCCCCAAACCCUCCCCUGUGUAGGUAGCUCUGAUCCUUUGCAUUGUGACUUUGUGGACUGUUGGUAGCUUUCCAGAAAUUCACAUCUCCAUGGGGGAAUGAGAGAGCCUGUUUCUGAUGGCCACAGCUGUGCAGAUUUCUGCUGCAGCCUUGCAACUUCUAGUGCAUGCUCUUGUGUGUGGCAUACGUGUAAAUGUGCCUGUUUAUACGCCUGUGUGUUGUAAAAUAGGGAGAAACAGCAGAGCUCACUUCCUCUUGACUAUUUCUUUUCUUUUUCUGUCUUGCUCCUCUCCGUUUCUAUCUCUCAUCAUCCCUCAACACACACACACACACAUACACACACACCCAAGGUCCUGUAAUUCUAAUUGGGAGAUGAAUAGAAAGCUAUUAGAAAAAAACCCCUGACUUUUAGAAACCUGGUAUGUUGGAUUUUACAUGACCAGGCUCGCUUCAGGAGAGACUAACCAUAAAUACUGCAGUGGUUUUGCUGAAAAUUGCUUUACCUUGAAAUAACUCUAGGGGAGUAGAGGUGCUGCCUCAUUGGAGCCGAUGUUGAAUAUGAAUUUUAAUAUUCUUCCUUCUUGCACCCUCCCCUUUUAGAGUCAGGGGAAAAAAGAAACCUAGCCAAAAAAUGUUAAGGUUUGAUUUUGGCUCUUUUACAAACAGAUGUUGCUUGUCAUUUUGUUGUUGUUAAGCAGGCACCAGAUUGGACCAAGCAGCAGUGUGCAUGCAUGCAUGUGUGUGUCUGUGUGUGUGCAUGUGUGUGUGUGAAAGGGAGAGAAAGAGGGGAAAGAGGGAGGGUAAGGGAGAGAGAGAGAGGCUUGGGGGAGAGAAAAAGAGAGUUGUGGGGUGGAUAAAGGGCUGGAAGGCAAAAACAGAUUGAUUUUGGGAAAAGUUGAGAGCAAAAAAGUAGGUAAUAUAGGUUAAUACCUUUUUUCUUUCCAAACUUCAAUUUGGCUAAGACUGUAUAAAAUCGUAUUCUAUUUGAUAGUUUGCUGUUUUUCCAAAGUAAGAGGGAAAUGUGGAAAUCAGUAGACGUGGACGUGGAGAGCACUAGGUGAGAAAAGCUGACCUCUUCUAGGCUGAAAGGCAGGGAGAGGGUUGGUAGGCUGUUCCUGUGCUCCUCUCAGCAACUAUACCUGGAGUCUAUACCUGGAGUAGGUCGAAGGUCUUUACCUGGAGUAGGUCGAAGGUCUUUACCUGGAGUAGGUCGAAGGUCUUUCUGUCCCAGUGGAACUUAGUUUCUUGUGUUUGACGGUUGCUUCUUUUUGUAAGUAUCAUCGGGGAGGUUCCAGGCUCUUUUGUACUCUUCCCAGAAUAAGAAUCCCGUUGUCAAACAGUCAAGGUUCUAAGGAAAUACUGACUGUUUGCGUAUUGCACAUCUCUUUGCUUGCAGGAUCCGAGUAAUUUAAUCCUCAAUUCUUUCCCAAGCCACCCUAUACACUCACUUAAUUCGUAGCUUUCUAAUGCAAUUGUGGUAUACUUUCUCAAGAGCAAAACAUAGCUUUGAAUAUCAAAGUGUUAACGUUGGCUGGCAUAGAGGAAGCCUUGUGCAGCGUAUAGUCCAUGUACAUUAAAGAAGUGAAAGAUGUCUAAUUUUCAAAAUAUGUAUCUGACGUUCCAUAUCAGAACAAGUGUCUUCUUUUUUUUUUUUAAUUUUAAUUCUUUUAAAAACCUUCCUGGCUUUAUUAACAGUAUAGCUAGAAAGGAAGUUGUAGGUUGGCAUCAUUGUUUGCAUUUUAGAAAGGAAGGAAAAUUGUCAUCCUGAGCAAACUUAUUGCUUUCAAAAGUGAAAGUAGUCUGCUUAGCCAGCUGCACACGAAGCAACUUGUUACUGGCAGCCUCUUAGGCUUUUGUUUCAUCGAGUAUGUCAAAAGCAAAUUUGCCUCCAAUUUCUCACUCUUAAAUGGUUGAUCUCUGUUAUACAUCUGUUGUAAGUGAACAUUUAGUGGGUUUAAGAUUGUUUUUAAAUUACCGAAAAACAAAAAGCCCACUACUCUGAUAAUCUGAGGCAUCUUUUGUUUUAGCUCAAUCUGUCUUAUUCUAUCAUGCCAUUUUUCACCUCUUUGUUCUUUAGUCCACCUAGCCACACUUUCAUUUUUCAUUUUACAUAAAAUAUUUAUUUUUUUAAUACAGGGGGAUGUGUGGUAGGACGAUUAUAAAUAUCAAUUUCUAAUUUUCCCUGAAAGGAAAAUUUGCCUGAAAGGAGCACUAAAACCAUGGCAUUGCUUUGCCAGUCUCCUCCCUCUCCUGCUUCCUUCUGGUCAGUUUUUCCUGGGUAGAGAAGAAUUAAUUCUACCUAAGCUAGCUGGCUGUGGUGCCAGAAGCCUCUGCAUUGCAUGCUUGAGAGACGCUCCUGCACUGGGGUCCGGUAUCCUGGUGGCAAUAUCGCAGGUGGAUAACGCAUGGGGUGACGCAUGGCACCAGUGAAUUUCUCUUGGAGCAGCAAUCGUUGGAUGUGCCUCUUUUGUUGAGGUGAUUGGAUCUUUCUACAAAAAUCGAGGGCUGCAGAGGGUGAGAGAAAAGACAUCAGGAAAACUGAAAAACCAUAGGAGACCAAAGACUAGCUGUCACUCCUCUUCAUGAUGUCGGGGAGAAUGCCAAGGGUAGAUUUGAGUUUUCUCUCUCUCUUCCUUCCUUCUUUCUUUCUCUCUCUCUCGCUUUCUGUUUCAUUCUCUUUCUUUUUCUCUCUUUCUGUCUCCCUCUCUGUGUCUUUCCUUUCUCUUUCUUUCUUUCUUUGCUUUAUAAAAAGUUGCUCUAUCCCCUCAGGACAAAGAAGGUCUGCUGAGAUUCUGUACAAGAGGUACAUCUUUGAAAAAGAAGGAGGGUGGAGGGCAGGAAAUCUUUCUGCUGGUGCCGUUCUGCUGACAUCACCAUGGAUUUGGUGUUCAAGUCCAUAGCCAGGCAAAACUCAAAUACAUUUUCCCUUUUGCAAGCAGCUGCACAGUGAGUUUGCCUUCCAUUAGUAAAGGAACAAUGAGGGAAAAGCAAACCCUGCGUCUAAAACAUGGCCAAUGAAAGAACGUUGGAAUGGAAGCCAAGAAUCCUGCUGUGGUGGAAAGGGGAUAGACUCAUGAAUCCACCACAAUCAGAUAUUUUACUUCUUUCUAACAGCCCCAUCAGCAGAGAGAAAUAAUGACUCCCGAAUCAUUUCAGAAUCAAAAAGUUAAAACGAUGUCUCAAUGAUGCUACAUCAUGCCAGACACGGGCGAAUGGUUUGAAGAUAUUGGCCUAGCAAGAUGGCAACGGGUUUAAAAAAUUCAUAAGAUUCAUAGGAUUCAUAAGAAGUUACUUUUUUCAGACAUGUCAAACCCCCAAACGAGAGAAGAUACUGAGGCCUGUUGCCACAAACCCGUAGAUCCGAACUUGUGGUGAUAGUCCACACAAGCUUGUGUCUAUAGGUCCAGCUCCUUUGUGGAACAGCCUUUACCAGACAAAACCAGAGUCCAGCUAAGCAAUGAGGAAAGGCUGCCGUCAAUAGACCACAGAGCAGUCCUCAUGGGAAAAUACAAACCGCACCAAACGUGAGUUCGCAUAGAGAUAGGAAGUCAUCAAGCUUGUGAGAAUCUGUCUGCUACUCCAUCAUCGACUGGAGCUAAAGAUAAAGGAAAGACCCCAUUUAAAAUUAAAAGUACAAACAGGGAAAUUUACCACAUUCCCUUAAAAGAAAAAAAUACAGGGUUACAUUUUUAUAUGUUGCUAAAUAAACUACUGGGGACAGACUUUGUGAAAAAGUGUUGAAACAGUCAACUCCAGAAGGAGGGCCACUUUAACAACAUGUGAACUAUGUAAUGUGUAUAAUAAAUACUGUUGCGUGAAUGUUGAACAUAGCUUCUAUAUUAUAUGUUUACCUUUACUUUGCUCAGAAUCCUGUUAUCUAUAUCUUUUCACUGUGUUUUGCCUUAAACAAUUUUCCCUUGUUUAUUGACCCUUCAGAGAUUCCAGUUUUACAGUUUCACAAGGGAAACAUUUGUUUUCCUAAUCCUUUUUUCAAUUCUCGAAGUUUACAUAUUGGUCUACUUUGUAUUCUGUCAACAGAUACCAGAAGGCAUUAGAUUGAGCAGAACAACCACCAUUAUAUAACAUUACCGUAAUUUUCAUGCACAAAUAAUUUCCAGGAGGCCAAUCCCAAGUAUUUCCUCCCUUCCUGUCUACACACUAAUUUCAAAUCAAGGUUCUUGUGUUAGUUUCUCUAUUGUCAGACCCUUUGAUGUGUGAUCUCUUGUGAAUGGCCCAAAUAGGUGACAGCACGAAGAAUAAUUAUAAGACUAACUUGCAAUUUCAUUGCUUAAGAAAUGGUAGCUUUCCAGCCAUUGUGACUGCAUGUUCCCAGGUUGAGGUAGUAGGUUGUAUAGUUUAGAAUUACAUCAAGGGAGAUAACUGUACAGCCUCCUAGCUUUCCUUGGGUCUUGCACAAAGCAACAUGCCAAGAAUGAUCAUGAUUCAUCCGGGCCUUUUUUUCCUAGGAAAGCGUAUGAAAGGUAAGAUUGGGUACUGGCAUUUUAGAAUUCAGGUUUUGUUUAAUUCUUGUACCCAUGUUGUAUUUUCAUGUUCUGUUUCUUUGGAUUUUGUGUUUUACCAAAAACAUGAGACUUUGAGAGAUUCCAUAUAUCAGUUACCCAUUGUCACAAUAAUGCUGCUUAACAAACACAAAACUUUAGUGGCAUACAUCAAUAAAUAUAUAUUUAGUUCAUGAGUCUAUGGAUCAGUGAUUUAGACUGGGCAGUUUUUCUCGUCUUGGUUGGUCUCAUUCAUUCUGGCUGUCAGCUGUCAGAUGGGGUGACUAGGAUGACUGGGGCAACUCAGUUCUAUUUCAUGUUUCACGUCCUCCAACAGGGUAGUUCCAGCACAUUCUCAUGGUUAAAACAGAGGGGAAAGAACAAGAACAAGCCAAAUGGCUUAAAUAUUUUGCAAGCUUCUGCCUGCUUUAUGUUUGCUAAUAUCUUGUUGGUCAAAGGAAGUCAGAUGACCAUGCCUGGAGCCAGAGAGGAAGAUGCUACAAAGUUUCUGGGCAAAGGGCAUGAAUCAGGAAAGCAAGACAAAUCGGGGCCGUUUUCGCAAUCACAUUGAACUUUCUUGGGUUUCAUCAAGUUGAAAGUAAUGUGUACCCUCCAUCCUCAGAAGCUCCCAAGAUCAAGAACCAUGUUUGUGAAUUCAUACUUUGGAAUUUAGGAUAAGCUGAUCUUUGUCUGAAUGCUAUUUAUGUCCCUGUUAACAAGAUAUACUCCAACCAACUUUUGUGGAAAAAUCGCCAAGAGACUGGAAUGGUAGUAAUGUGGGGAUUGAUUAUAUCAGAUUAUAAGGCUCAGUCAUUUCAUGGUGAUAGCCAAUGUCAUGAAUGAUAGACAUUUUGCCUGACUUAGACUGAACUCACACAAUCUACACAGAGCAUAUGAGCAGCAAACCAGCAUUAGAAUACAAAUCUGUUGGCUAGAAUGGGGUUGCUCCGAGCCCAGACACUUUUUCAAUAGAAAAUACAGACAGGUAGUCAGAAGGUACUUAAUGAAAUUAUUUAAUCCACUACAUUAUUUUUCUGGCAUUUUAAUAUACAACAUAGGUAAAAAAGAAUGGUUUUGCAGCCUUUCUUUCUGAGCUACCUUAAAAAAAAAAGACGAGAUCGCUGUGUCAUCAUUUUGAUUCCAUGCUCAAACAUUUUCAUGGUGCAUCAUAGUGAUUGUUACCUUACUAGGAAGUCAAGGAUGACUAGCCCCAGGUUGAUGAUGAAGCACAGCUAAAGGUUCAGUGUUUUAGGCCAUCCUGAAAGUUUACAGCAGAACUAGAAGCAAAGGUCUAAGGCUCCUGUAUGGUCUUCAUUUCUUGGCUUGUUCAUUUAUCCUUUAGAAGGGCCUGUGGCCUUGCUCUAGAAGACACUGUCAUUACUUUGUCACAUUUAUUAUGAGUUUGACAUGAAACACAGUUAUUACCUGUAUCUGUGUUGGAUAAGAGUUUGUGUAUUAAACAUCUGUAGCCACUUGACAUAUAAGGACCUACUUAGUACUGUUUAUACAUUUAUAUAGCUUUUUUAAAAAAAUUGAGUUAUCUUCUUGUACAAGACAAUAAAAUCCUCUCCUUUUCAGUAGCAUAAACUUAAGUGGUUUCAUGCAGCCAUGGUCCCUAAAGGUAAAGUAGUGUUUUGGGGUCCUGCUUCUGAAGACAAAGUAAGUUUCACAUAAUUGAGUGUCUACUGACUUGGUAGUCAGGUUGCAUCUGCUAGAGUUUAAACAGUGCCCUGUUUGCUUUCUGAAUGGCUAUGGUGUUUGGGAGGUCAUACUGUUGUGUUUUUCAGCCAAUAGCUCAUGGUAAGACAAAGAGUUUGGGAACUGCAAGGAAAAUAAAUUAUGUUGGAGGCCACUUUAGACACAUCUUAGUGUCAGUUUCAGCAGUAGUGGAUGGGUAAAGUAUUAUUCAAAAUGUUUCGCUUCUUAUGUCCAUCUUUGGUGAGUAUGAGCUCUGUUUCCUCAGGGAAACUCUUCACUGAAUUUUAUAUCUGACAAUCAUUCUUAGUCCCAGAGAUCCAAAAUACGCCGUUAAUACAAAUCACCACAGUAUCUUCUGGAAUUAAUCUUAGGAUUUAAAAAGAAAGAAAAAGAGUUGCAGAAUGCUGCAUUUUUUAAUAUCAUCAAGAAAUUAUAAUAUCUUUAUGGGUGAUGUAAAUGUUAUUUUAAUUUUCCAGAAUCUGGUAAUUUAAUCCAGCUAUUUUCCAGCACAUUGAUAAGCUUCAAAACCUAAAUGUGUCGCUGGCAUCUUGACCUUCUUCAUCAAUCACGGAAUGUUUUGCUGAUGCAAUUUAAGGAGACUCUGGCUAGUCAGAAUAGCGAGUCUACAAACUUUCUGGAAGACAGGUCAUUUGUACUUCUUUAUUUGCAUGCAUCAGACUCUUUUUGACUUGGUUUAUCAGUAUGACUAGUUAGAGACAUUUAACUAGUAUGUGAUAACGCAGUCAGUCUUCUUGUACUGGGUAAGUAUGCACUUCCAAAAACAUUCUUAUAACGGCAAACACUAGCCUCUUCAAAGUUGGCUUUGGCUCAUUAUCUUCUCUGACCUUUCUGAAGACCCACGGAGAAAUGAGUAAACCAAGCUUUUCUUACCUAUACCAAUAUAUAUUUUCUAAAUACUUAGUGCAAGCUUUGACUGCAAAUAGAAUAACACCUUACAUCAUUACUCUUCUUGUACCACUGUACUAUUUUCCCCUUAUCUCUUGCCCUCCAAAUUCUAACCCCACCAAAAUACUUGUUUUUCUGUUCUGAGUAAGGCCAAUCUCUGGUGGUCUUUAAUAGCCUAUUUUUCUAACAGUUAUACGUCCAAGUUCUAUUGAAAGCAUCUUUUAAAUAGUGUAUAUCAAACUUUAAUUGAUAUGAAUCUACAGGGAUCUUGUUAAAAUGCAGAUUCUGAUUCAGUGGGUCUGGAUGGGGCCUGAAAUUCUGCAUUUCUAACCAACUCUUAAGUGAGGCUGAUGUGGUAUAUGGAACACACUCUUAGGUAGUAAGGUUUUGCAUAAUCAAAUUCUUCUAAAUUCCAGGAUGUCCAGGCAUUUAAGCUGAGGGCAAGAAUUUGGCGACAGUUUCCCAUCUUUAGAUAAAAUCCUUCCUUUAGUUGUAGUCACACAGCUUAUCUUCUUAAAAUAUCUUAGUUCCUUUUCACUAAUACACUAAUACAUAAGACUCAGCACUAUGAAAGUUACAUUUUAGAAAUAGGGACAUUGUGACAUUGAAUAUAGUCCUAAAGAUCUUCAUAUCAUAGUAAUCAUUCACUCAAUAGAAGCAUCUUUGAAUAGCACAUGUAAAGAGAAUUCAACUGGGGACAUGAAUGCAAGUACCAAACCUGGUUCUGCAGUACUCAAAUCACUUAAACUUUCUGAAAAUCAGUGUCCAAAUAUGUAAAUCCAUGGGCUAGAACUGGAUAAUAGCUGAGGUAUUUUUAAUAUAGAAUAUUCUAGAAUUCUGGGAUUGUCAUUCAGGAAUCUUAGUGUCUAGGAGUUUUCUUCUUAGCCUCCAUAUCCUCCCGUCUUAUAACAUGAAAGAGGAUAUUCCCAAUUCUAUCUCUGGACUUCAAAAGAACAUGAGCAGAAUGGCUGUCUGAAGGUACAUGCUAAAAGUUCCAGUAAUUCACUCCCAGCCCCCUCUGUGUCAAGUGAAGACAUCUCUCAUUGUCACUUCCCACAAUAAAUUCAAUAUGGAAUGUAGCAUAUAUUCCUUAUCCAGCAGUCUUAUGCUUUAAGUGAGUAUCGCCUUCAUGAAUAUAAUUCAUUUUAUUAGCUUAGUUUAGUGUCUCAUCACACAUUCUACGUAUGAUUUAUCUUUUAUCUCAGUUACUUUCAUAGCUCAUGCUUUGAAACUGCCCUAAAACUUAGAUUCCUGCUGAGGGCUGUGUUUGUCGUUGAGGAUGCAUUUGUGUUGACUGUGUCCUCCAAAGUUUAGCUCAAUGGUCCCUUUCUCUCCUUCUGUUUCCCUUUCACUUCCCUCAGGUAGCUCUUUCUUUUGUGCUCACAUAAUACUUAGUUCAAACAACUAUCUUAUCAGAUUAUAUGAGUAUUAUAAAUAUUUAUUUUACUGAUAGUUUUGUGAAUUCCUUGAUGGGAUGGACACUAUUUUAAUUAAUCAUCCUUUUAUUCUCAGGCUGAUACAUAAUAGUUGCUUAAGUGUUGGUUCAUUUGAACCAAAUUUUCUUUCAGUAAACAAUUUUUGACAGGCCCAUGAUCUAGGAAACGUCAAACUCAGUAACAUUUGUACCUUACGUUUAAGUUUUGUAUUAUAUUCUGUAGCAUCUCUAGAAUUUUUUCCUUUCAUUCUGCUAUUGUUUCAGUGAACAAGACUGAAUCUGAAAUAGGUUGAAAAGUUUCCUUAGAGUGUUGUGAGUUCCCAGAAAUGAAAGUAUUCAUUAAACUACAGAAACAGAGAUUAAGCUCCAAAGAGAAAUAUUUUAAUGCUUAUCAGAACAGAAUUGACUAAAUUUGAUUACUUAAUUUUUAUUUCAGAGUAAUCACAUGGAAUUUUCCUGCAAUGGAACAAAACUUAUUGAAAUACUUGGCAGACCAGGAGUGGAAGCAGAGGAAACAAAUGGUAGGAGAUACAGCUUUUUUGUGGUCUGAGCAUCAAACUUGAGAGGAGGACAUUGCUGAGACUUAACAUUAAUUAAUAAUGUUUAUUCAUGUAAACCUGCAUCAAAUGGUAUUCUACAUGGAGGAAAAGCUGUGGAUGCUAAAAAAAGAGAACUGAAAACUAGUCUUUCAUGAACUCAGUUAUUGGAGUAAGUAGAGCUAAAACUGUGGGGGUGGCGGGGGGAGAAGAAAAUGAAAAAGGCAUUUUUAGAGCUUUUAAUUUAAGCCACUCCAGUGUCCCUGUUCUCUGCUUCUUUCCACUACCCCUGCCCCACAGUCAGAACCCAGGGCACCGGGCAGCUCAGAAGCUGAAAGGAGACUAAGAGUGAGGCUCUGGGUUAACUUUCCAGUGAUCUUAAAAGGUGGAGGCAGAAAGACUGCUUGGAGAAACUCCUUUUUACCUUUCUAGAACUGCAUCAGAGAAACUCCUAAAUUGCAUCAGUGAUCCUGAAACCUUUAUAAAUAAAGAGUUUCCUGCAUUUAGGAAACUUAAUCUUGUUGGGAUCUUUUGAGGUAGGAAAAUGUGAUGAGAAAUAAACAUUCUCUAUAUUCCUAUGUAUUGGGUAUGCUCCUGGAAACAUUGGAGGGACUGUUUGCCAAAAACUCUUGGCAGUUUUCAAAGAUGGCUGGCCAAGUCAAAAGAGAAUGAGGAGAAGAACAGGUUUAUGGAGCUCCGAGUCCAGCAUUGUGUGUAAAACCCAGGUUUCAAUUUAAAGAAAUCUGUUGCAUAAAAACCUUGGGAAACAUAUCAUCCUCUCUUUUCUUUACUACAUAGAUACCUCACACAAGUAUCCUGUUCUUCAAAAAAAUUUUUUUAGAAAAUAAGAAAAAUAUAAGAAAAUCAACAUGGUCAUAAUGAAGCAAAUUUUAUAUUAAUUUUAUUUACUUUUGCUUUUAAAUUUAAGAGUUAAGACAACAUUUCAGCAAAGAAAUGUGGAGAAGGGUAAAGGGAAAUCAAUAAAGUCACUCUGUGACUUUUCCCAGGAGGGAGCUGUGUUAAUCGAGA